UUUCCGUAGGUGAACCUGCGGAAGGAUCAUUAACGAGUAAAGUACUUCGGAACUUUCUUAUACAAACACCUGUGAAAAUUAAUUUUUGCUUUGGGAAUUUAAUUAUUCCCAACAACCAAAACCACUAAGUUGUCUUUUGUCUUAAUUAUUAUUUAAAAAUCAAAACUUUCAACAACGGAUCUCUUGGUUCUA
rnacentral:misc_RNA from 1 species